rnacentral:lncRNA from 1 species
GGGGAGUUUGAGAGCUAUCCAAUUGCCAAAGAGAUGUGGGAUCAACUAAGGCUAAAAUAUGGUGGAAUAACAGCUAUUAGGCUUCAUGCCUUAAUGCUUAGGUUCAAUCAAUAUAUGAUGGACCCAAAGCAUAGCAUGUUUGAGCACCUUAGGGUGAUGUCCUCUUAGAUCAGAGAAAUAAGAGUUGCUGGUCAUGAUCUCACAAUGAGCAAUAGGUCUUUCCUGUCAUUAGGUCACUUCUUAAGUCCUCU